rnacentral:rRNA from 1 species
UACGUAGGUGGCAAGCGUUGUCCGGAUUUACUGGGCGUAAAGCGUGCGUAGACGGCUAUCUAAGUCGGGUGUGAAAGCCCCGGGCUCAACCUGGGAAUUGCAUUCGAGACUGAAUAGCUAGGGUGCGGUAGAGGGAAGCGGAAUUUCCGGUGUAGCGGUGAAAUGCGUAGAUAUCGGAAGGAACAUCAGUGGCGAAAGCGGCUUCCUGGACCAGCACCGACGUUCAGGCACGAAAGCGUGGGGAGCAAACAGG